rnacentral:rRNA from 1 species
CCUACGGGUGACAGCAGUGGGGGAUAUUGCACAAUGGGGGAAACCCUGAUGCAGCAACGCCGCGUGUGGGAAGAAGGUUUUCGGAUUGUAAACCACUGUUCUUGGUGAAGAUAAUGACGGUAACCAAGGAGAAAGCUCCGGCUAACUACGUUCCAGCAGCCGCAGUAAUACGUAGGGAGCAAGCGGUGUCCGGAUUUACUGGGUGUAAAGGGUGCGUAGGCGGUCUUGCAAGUCAGACGUGAAAACCGUAGGGUCAAACUGUGGCGUGCGGUUGAAACUGUGGGGCUUGAGUGAAGUCGGGGUAGGUGGAAUUCGUGGUGUAGCGGUGAAAUGCGUAGAGAUCACGAAGAACACCAGUCGCGAAGGCAGUGUACUGG